rnacentral:rRNA from 1 species
AGUCGAGCGGACUGAAUGAAAGCUUGCUUUCAUUCGGUUAGCGGCGGACGGGUGAGUAACACGUGGGCAACCUGCCCGUAAGACCGGGAUAACUUCGGGAAACCGGAGCUAAUACCGGAUAACACCGAAGAUCGCAUGAUCUUUGGUUGAAAGGCGGCUUUGGCUGUCACUUACGGAUGGGCCCGCGGCGCAUUAGCUAGUUGGUGAGGUAACGGCUCACCAAGGCGACGAUGCGUAGCCGACCUGAGAGGGUGAUCGGCCACACUGGGACUGAGACACGGCCCAGACUCCUACGGGAGGCAGCAGUAGGGAAUCUUCCGCAAUGGACGAAAGUCUGACGGAGCAACGCCGCGUGAGCGAAGAAGGUCUUCGGAUUGUAAAGCUCUGUUGUUAGGGAAGAACAAGUACCGUUCGAAGAGGGCGGUACCGUGACGGUACCUAACGAGAAAGCCACGGCUAACUACGUGCCAGCAGCCGCGGUAAUACGUAGGUGGCAAGCGUUGUCCGGAAUUAUUGGGCGUAAAGCGCGCGCAGGCGGUUCCUUAAGUCUGAUGUGAAAGCCCACGGCUCAACCGUGGAGGGUCAUUGGAAACUGGGGGACUUGAGUGCAGAAGAGGAGAGCGGAAUUCCACGUGUAGCGGUGAAAUGCGUAGAGAUGUGGAGGAACACCAGUGGCGAA